rnacentral:rRNA from 1 species
AUGGCAGCAGGACUAGAUCCGCUAGUGGCGCUCUGGAAGGAGUGGGGAAUCCAGGUGCUAGUGCUGCUGAGUUUAGCACUGCAGGUGAUUCUCCUGGUAACGGCAGAGAUCCGCCGUCGCAAGGACUCUGGCGUGUUAAGGGUCGUCGUGUGGUCGGCGUACCUGAUGGCCGACAUGACGGCGAUUUACACUCUGGGCCAUAUGUUGGUGACUAGCAGGUUACCGGAGCAUGAGUUGGUGGCGUUCUGGGCGCCGUUCCUGCUACUGCACCUCGGCGGUCAGGACAACAUCACCGCCUACUCCAUUGAGGACAAUCGGUUGUGGCUGCGUCACCUGCAGAGUUUUGUGGUGCAGGUCCUCGCAGCCAUAUAUGUCCUCUACGAGUCAUCAAUCUUCACAGGUGGCCGCCAGAGCAUGCUCGGCCAGGCCACCAUCCUCAUGUUUGUAGUUGGUGUUGUCAAGUACGGGGAGAGAGUAUGGGCACUCAAGUCUGCCAGCAGCAGUGCCCUGUCUGGGAAGAACUACAACAGUUUUGGUAGGUUGCACUUUGUGAACCCCUAUACUACCAGAAGUUGGUCGCCGGCACCAUUUCUAGCACAUGACUUGUUGAGCGUACCCAAGCAUCUACUUAAGGGGCCGUUACCUCUUGUGGCAUUUGACAUGAAAGCAUGUUGUAGCUGGGAGGACAUGUACAAUAUAGCCGAGAACCAACUCUCGUUGAUGUACGAUGUCUUCUACAGCAAAGCUGAGUUGAUCCACACUUGGUACGGGCACUGCAUCCGCCUAACCUCGCUGGCAGCCACUGCCACCGCACUGCGGCUAUUGUUCCUUGGAUUAAGUGACAAAGAUGGUUACAACAGAGUAGAUGUCGCUGCCACUUAUGUUUUGCUAGCUGGAGCCGUCGUCCUGGAGAUCACAUCCCUGCUGAGAGCCAUGUGCUCCAGCUGGUCACUCCAGCAAAUGAUCACAUUAGCUCGUGGCCACACUGUUGUUAGUAGACGAUUAGUUUAUUUGUUCUAUCCUGCAUUUUUAUGUGGGCACCUCGUCAGAUUUGCAUUGCCGAGACUAGGAAUACAAAUAAGGUGCUGGUCGGGCACCAUGGGGCAACACAACUGGAUUUACAUGUGCAGCCACUGCAAGGACAGCCGAAGCAGCAAAAUCGCGAGAUGGAUGGGACGGGAGGACUGGUGGAACACACUGGUUUACACCUCGUCGUCUGUCUCCGUCUCGGCAGAUUUCAGGCUGCUGCUGAAGGAACAACUGAGGGGAAGCGUUGGCGUCGACGAAGAGAACGCCGAGCACAUCCAAAACUCACGGGGCCGGGCAGCGCUGAAGAAGAAGGGAUUGUAUGAUGACGAGUUGUUGGCCUGGAGCGUGGACACUGAGCUGGACCAGAGCAUCCUCGUCUGGCACAUUGCUACUCAUGUCUACCUCAGCUGGUACAAGGCGGAACACGGAUGCCUGCCGCAUCAUGCAAAGGUGACCGAGGAGCUCUCCAACUACAUGAUGUUCUUGCUUGCGGCACGUCCCUACAUGCUGCCUGACAAUGCUAGUCGUCAAAAGUAUAUUGAACUGUGCAACAAGGUGAUCAAUGAUCUGAAACUGAAAUACAGCUCGGCUGAGGAUUUAAUCAUGUUGGUACGUAACCACGGAGAUGCGCUCGGCGCGGGACGAGCUCAACCUUCCGGCAAUGCUGAUACAAUCGAAGAGAAUGCUGAUAUAAUCAUAGAGAAUGAAACUUUCGACAGGGCAUCUCAGCUUAGCACGAAGCUGAUUACCAUGGAAACACCUGAUACCGGCAUGCUGAAGCUGAUCAACCAAGUGUGGGUGGAGAUGCUGAGCUACGCGGGAUACCGGUGCAGGCCGGAUUCUCAUGCUAGACAGUUGAGCAACGGCGGCGAGAUCACCACCAUCGUUGUCCUUUUGGUGGAAUACUUGAAAUCUGAUUUUCUGGAGUUCGAAAAAGUAGAGCAAGAUGCUGAGUUGGGGAUGCCGUAA